UAUUAGCUAUAAAUAAUACAUUUUCUGUAUGUUUAAAAUGCAUGUGAUUUCUGUAGAUUAAAAAUGUCCAUGGUUUAAGGCACCAAACCGAACACUUGCGAGUCAGAGGGUACCAGAUUUCCGUUUGACCAUGAGACGUUAAUUCAGCCUCUCUCUGCGUGUGCCCUUACGAGGCUGAAAUGACACAGUCACAGCCUAUUUUUAGCUCUCUCCCUCUUUCCCUGGCCAGGGUGGCUGCACAGUGAGGUGGAAAUAAGGUUGCAUGGACAGCCAUAAAUUGGACAUUUCCUAACUUUGAAGUGCUUGACCAUGCAAUCUAAAUGAGGCCAUUUCAGGGCUGUAUUUCUGCAUGUGGCAUUAACUGCAUUGGUAGGGGACAGCAAAUACGGGGGUAGAGAAGCUGUAGAGAAGAAAAGACCUAGCAGACUAUUGAACGAGCUCGUUUGAAUAAAGGGGGGAGUCAACAGAUCCUACACUCAAUCUGAGUUAAAUGGCCAAGAAGAUGUCUCCAAGUUGAAAGGGGGAAGCCUUUGUUCCCUCAGAAACGGCCUUGAUGUUUUCUUUGCCUUUGGUUUUGCCUCAUUCAAUCCUAGGGAGGUUUGGGCUCCGUAUCUUGAGGAAUCUUCAGCUUAUUUGUUGCAUUUGCCUCCUUGGGAAAGUGAGGGUGCCCCUAGGAACGUGCACGCGCGCACACACUCGCACACACACACAAAUACCCGUCAUCACGCCACCCAGACGCGUGUUACCAGCUCACACACACUCGCUGCCGUUGUGUCCUUGCCUUGCAUGCUCUUUCUUCCCAGUGUCGCUAAUGGGAGCCGUUCCACGUGUUGGAGGGGAAGGGGAGGCCUUUGUGCAUUAAACAGCAGAUCUAAUCUUUUUUUUUUUUUUAACUGCUGGAAGAAUUGCCUCUACUUUACUUUGGAGGUGAUUAGAUGCAAAGCAGAUUUGUCUCUGCUUGAAACAUCCUUUUUUUCUCCUUGUUGGGAAGUUUCUUCGUUGUGGCUUGCGAUAUCUGCGAGGAGAUAUUCGGCUAUCUCUCUUUUGUAGGUGGGUGGACUCUGGCCGAGCAAAUUUGUCUGGGGAAGCAAGCAGGAGGGUUUUUUUGUUUUACUUUUCCGGGUGUAAUCCGGUCAUGGCCCCUGCACGUAUCUUACGCUCAUAGUAAAGCAUUUUCUCAGGCUGGCAGUGUUUUUGCUCUGGAUUAUAAUUAUAUGACCUAGUGUUUUCUCUUCGUGGAUUGCUGGAGCCCAACAUCUGCUUGGGGCUGUUCCUGUGUUGGCACAGGCAUCCAGCGUGCUAGGUUUGGGUUUCCAUUGUGUGGGCAUGGGCUUCUGUUUCACGAGCGUCUUUUCCAUAACUUUUCCUCUCUCUCCCUGCAUCUCAGGGCUUGUCUAUCUGGAUGCAGGCAAUAAACGUCUGUUCUCACCCUGACUUCUGUUAAUGAGAUACAGACAGGCAUGACUAUGCGUUUGUGGAGUGGGAUGCCUUGGGAAGGGCAGGGACGUCUCCACCUGAACAAGGAGAGAUCCCAGUGAGAGGAGAAGGGACCUUUCAAGCCUUGGAGUUCCUUGUCACUGUUGGUUACCACCUGCCUGGACUUGCUGUCUGACAUCUCCAAGCCUUGCCAGGAGGGAGGGUCCAACCUGCUUCUCCGAUGGCCCCAGAGAAGAGGUGGCUUUUGCUCAUGAACACAGAGGGUUUCUGCAUUGCUUCAAAUCCCCUCGGUCCACCCUUGCGGAGGGAGCCAGGGAAACCCAGGAAGCCAGGAGAAAAUCCCAUGUAACUCCUGUAUGUUGUGUCUAUCUUUGGUGCCCUAAAUACCUCUGGGCAAGAUUGUCCUGCUUGGGCAGAGAGAUCUAAGCAAGCCACUGUCUCAACUGGCAAAAUACUGUGUGCAGGAAGGUUAGAGGGAGCAGCAGGACAAUCCGAGCUGGCGGAGUAGUUUUGUAGCACCGGGGAACAUGCAGGUUGGGCUUUGAGCAUGGAGUGCAGCCAUCCUGGUGGGGCUGUGUGUGUAGAGCCUGCAGGACUGCACAUCUCUCUGGGCCGGACAGUCCUGCUGCUCUUUCAUUGCCCUUGUCUCUGUUCUUGUAAGAGAAAUGUACUGGCUGUAAUUCCCUUCCAUUAAAAUCGACCCCCACCCAAUGCACUGCUGAAAAUAAACACUCUGUUUUAUGAAAAUGA